rnacentral:rRNA from 1 species
AGCGAACGCUGGCGGCAGGCUUAACACAUGCAAGUCGAACGCCCCGCAAGGGGAGUGGCAGACGGGUGAGUAACACGUGGGAACGUACCCUUUGGUUCGGAAUAACUUGGGGAAACUCAAGCUAAUACCGGAUAAGCCCUUAUGGGGAAAGGUUUACUGCCGAAGGAUCGGCCCGCGUCUGAUUAGCUAGUUGGUGAGGUAAUGGCCCACCAAGGCGACGAUCAGUAGCUGGUCUGAGAGGAUGAUCAGCCAGACUGGGACUGAGACACGGCCCAGACUCCUACGGGAGGCAGCAGUGGGGAAUAUUGGACAAUGGGGGAAACCCUGAUCCAGCCAUGCCGCGUGAGUGAUGAAGGCCUUAGGGUUGUAAAGCUCUUUUACCCGGGACGAUAAUGACGGUACCGGGAGAAUAAGCCCCGGCUAACUUCGUGCCAGCCGCCGCUGUAA